UCUUCUCCUCUUCUCAUGUUUCUUUCUUUCUUGUCAAUAUUCUAGCAUUAUCUCGUGUUUAUGGCUCUCUUCUUUACGCAGCAGAAUAUUGCUGCUUACCUGAACAACAAUGAUAUUUGAAUGAGUUUGCAGCACAUUUUGUUCUCUGAAACCUGCAAACAGAUUUGACGCUAUUUUACAGAAUUUUACAAAUUAAAGGUUCUGCCAUUUAAAAGAAAUUGAAAUGUGAAUUAAAAUUCCCGCACAUUGCCAUCAAGUAAUCCCUAGUUCUCUAAUGGGUUAACAUCAAAUUUCCAAUUAAAUUUGAUGUUAAGGUCCAUACCAAGGUUUUAAAUUCCAUGGGAUGGGACUAUCUCAAUUUUCUUAUAAAAUGAGACAUGCUGCCAUCCCAUCCCAUCCCAAUAUUUGGAAUAGAAGAUAUCCCAAGACGUGCC
rnacentral:lncRNA from 1 species